rnacentral:misc_RNA from 1 species
GAAGAAGAAGGAGGAGGAGGAGGCCGCGUACCUAUCGCUGGUUGGUUGGUGGGGUAGUGAUUGGAGCAAUGGAUCUGACUAGGGUGGCGACUCGAGAGUGACUGCGGGCGACUCGAGGGCUAAGUUUCCAUGCUACCUAAGUCAUCAUUAGCAGCGUCAUCAUUGCAGAUGGAUUUGGAAAGUUCGUUAUCAGCAUCACCAGUAUGGGAAACCCCAACUUCACUGGAAACCAUUUCGGAAUCUUCAAAAUUUUGCUCUGAGACAAUGGAGAGCCCCAAUAUCACCUAGGAGGGCCAGCUAACAGCCCCACUGAUUCUUCAAUUGCCACAACAUCAUAUCUAGUACAAUGAACGUCCACAGAAAUCACUUUGUGGAAGGUUCUAGGGAAUCCACUAAAACAAGCAGUCUUGCAUAAUCAAACAGAGAUUUUGAAAGAGUGGAACCAUGCAUUGUAAUAUAGUCUCUGUAAAGAUUCCCUAUCCAGCGAAAGAAAUUUUCAUUCCAUACAUGUAAUGGACUCCAU